rnacentral:RNase_P_RNA from 1 species
UGAGCUGGCCGGGCAAUCGCUGCCGUUUCGACGGUGGAGGAAAGUCCGGGCUCCACAGGGUGGGACGCCAGGUAACGCCUGGGGGGCGCGAGCCUACGGAAAGUGCAGCAGAGAGUAGACCGCCGAUGGCCCCGGACCCCGGUUCGCGGGCACAGGUAAGGGUGAAACGGUGCGGUAAGAGCGCACCGCGCAGCUGGUAACAGUCUGCGGCGAUGGUAAACCCCGUCCGGAGCAAGACCAAAUAGGCCCUCUAUAGGUGUGACCCGCACUGAGGGCGGGUAGGUCGCUUGAGGUGUCUGGUGACAGGCAUCCCAGAUGAAUGAUUGUCGCGAGCGGUGAUCCGCUCGACAGAACCCGGCUUACAGGCCAGCUCAUCCG